GACGAACGCUGGCGGCGUGCUUAACACAUGCAAGUCGAACGGAGAGGCCCUGCUUGCAGGGUACUCGAGUGGCGAACGGGUGAGUAACACGUGGGUGAUCUGCCCUGCACUUCGGGAUAAGCCUGGGAAACUGGGUCUAAUACCGGAUAGGAGCCAUUUUUAGUGUGAUGGUUGGAAAGUUUUUUCGGUGUAGGAUGAGCUCGCGGCCUAUCAGCUUGUUGGUGGGGUAAUGGCCUACCAAGGCGGCGACGGGUAGCCGGCCUGAGAGGGUGGACGGCCACAUUGGGACUGAGAUACGGCCCAGACUCCUACGGGAGGCAGCAGUGGGGAAUAUUGCACAAUGGGCGCAAGCCUGAUGCAGCGACGCCGCGUGGGGGAUGACGGCCUUCGGGUUGUAAACUCCUUUCGCUAGGGACGAAGCUUUUUGUGACGGUACCUAGAGAAGAAGCACCGGCUAACUACGUG
rnacentral:rRNA from 1 species